rnacentral:ncRNA from 1 species
AAGAAUGUGAAGAAGAGGAAAGUAGACGAUACGAUUUGUUUCAGAGAGCUACUCCGUGGCUGUGAGGGUAGUACAAAUCUAUUGAUUGAAAAUCACCUCAGAGCACUAUUCACGAAAGGAAACGAGUAGGGAGUAGCGGAGUUGUUCCCGAUAGCAGAACAAAAGUCCAUAUUUGGACUUACUGAGCUUAUAUUUCGUGAGGAGUAUAAGGAAGCUGAGUGGUACCACGAUUCCCUCGUCUCAGCA